rnacentral:rRNA from 1 species
UACGAAGGGGGCUAGCGUUGCUCGGAAUCACUGGGCGUAAAGGGUGCGUAGGCGGGUCUUUUAAGUCAGGGGUGAAAUCCUGGAGCUCAACUCCAGAACUGCCUUCGAUACUGGAGAGCUCGAGUCCGGGAGAGGUGAGUGGAACUGCGAGUGUAGAGGUGAAAUUCGUAGAUAUUCGCAAGAACACCAGUGGCGAAGGCGGCUCAGCUGGCCGGUACUGA